GUAAGCAUUCCCCUACAUUCUGGUUUGCCAUGCCAAUGGGUAUUUGUGUGUGUGUGUGUGUGUGUGUGUGUGUGUGUGUGUGUGUGUGUGUGUUUGUGUUGGAAUGAAUUCCAAUGGAACCUACCUUCCUCUGACAGUUCAAUUCUGGGCAUAAGCCAAAGAAGCAAAUGUUGUUUAUCAUUCCUAUUGUAUCAUGCAGGAUAUGAAAAUCUAAAUAACCCAGAAUUAAUUGCUCCUAAAUUUUGUUACCUCAAACUCUGCUCCCCUAGGUAUCUGUAUUUACCAUGCCGCAGCAUACUACCUCACACACCUCUCUUGUUACUGCACUAUGAAGUCCUGGGAGUUAUGGAGCCAAAUAUAUGUGAAGAAACUAGGAAACCACAAAGAGCAGUGAUGUUUGCAGGGCUGAAGCACACUGAGGAUUCUUCCCAUCCAGGGACCAAAGUGUCUGAUACGAUGGAUGGACUGGUUUCCUGGAUUGCCAAAGGAUUAUCCUCAACUGAUUGAUGGUUCCAGCUCAUUGGUCCAGACCUUACACCUGAUCCUCAGUUAUCAUCUCUAACCAGUUAACUGCUGGAUUCUAAUGAAAAGAGAGCACCUACCAGUUCAAUUUAGUGAUGCCCCACUGAUGAGGGAGUAAGGCAAGCUGAGGACAAAGUACAAGCUAGUACACCACACCUCCCCACCUCCUGUGGGAUAUGGGUGAUAUUCCUCAGGCACUCCUGGCUGCCCAAGAACAAAGGAAAUGAAAGAAAACAAAUGGUUAACUGAUGGAGAUCACAGUCAUGCAGGACAUGAGUGUCCUUCAGUUUCCAAAUAUCUUAGUAAAUUACAAGAAAAAGGUAAUCUUGUCAAUAGCCUAAUCUCCAGAAACCUGUAGACUCAAUUUCCUGGAGCCCCUAACAUCACCCUCUCCUCCAUAGUGAUGUGGGGAAGAAAGGCAAGAAGGAAAUAGCAGGUAAAAUUAAAUUUCCUUAUAAUCUGCGCCAUUGACAAAUACUUGAGGCAAUUACAGAGUAUUUCUCUGUAUUUCUCUAGGAACCCCCUACUGUCCUAAUGUUAAUGCCUUACUAGAGGAAACACAACCUUAGCUGGAUAAUAGCAAGCCUCACUCUCUUAGGAGUCCUCUUUAGCAUAUCAAAGUCCUUCUGGAGGCCUCCCUUUUGACUUUACCUCCCCCAACUCCAGAGUAUAUAACCAGUCACUCUUCACAACCCCAGUGCAGCUCUUUCUGCCCACAGGUCCUGUCCCUGUGCUUUAAUAAAAUCACAUGUUUGCACCA
rnacentral:lncRNA from 1 species